rnacentral:rRNA from 1 species
AGGCAGAGAUGCGUAGCUGAUGGGAAACAGGUCAAUAUUCCUGUACCGAUAUGUAGUGCGAUGUGGGGACGGGGAAGGUUAGCUCAGCCAACUGUUGGAUAUGUUGGUUCAAGCCUGUAGUCGUGCCCGGUAGGCAAAUCCGCCGGGCUUAGAUGAGGGGUGAUAACGAGGCUGCUUGCAGCCGAAGUGAGUGAUACCCUGCUUCCAGGAAAAGCCACUAAGCUUCAGCUACACACGACCGUACCGCAAACCGACACUGGUGCGCGAGAUGAGUAUUCUAAGGCGCUUGAGAGAACUCAGGAGAAGGAACUCGGCAAAUUGAUACCGUAACUUCGGGAGAAGGUAUGCCCCAAGUAGGUGAACCUGUACAAGGCGAGCCCAAAGGGGUUGCAAAAAAUCGGUGGCUGCGACUGUUUAAUAAAAACACAGCACUCUGCAAACACGAAAGUGGACGUAUAGGGUGUGACGCCUGCCCGGUGCUGGAAGAUUAAAUGAUGGGGUGCAAGCUCUUGACUGAAGUCCCAGUAAACGGCGGCCGUAACAAUAACGGUCCUAAGGUAGCGAAAUUCCUUGUCGGGUAAGUCCCGUCCUGCACGAAUGGCGUAACGAUGGCCACACUGUCUCCUCCUGAGACUCAGCGAAGUUGAAAUGUUUGUGAUGAUGCAAUCUCCCCGCGGAAAGACGGAAAGACCCCAUGAACCUUUACUGUAGCUUUGUAUUGGACUUUGAACAGAUCUGUGUAGGAUAGGUGGGAGGCUUUGAAGUGAGGUCGCUAGAUCUCAUGGAGCCAACGUUGAAAUACCACCCUGGUGUGUUUGAGGUUCUAACCUAGGUCCAUUAUCUGGAUCGGGGACAGUGCAUGGUAGGCAGUUUGACUGGGGCGGUCUCCUCCCAAAGCGUAACGGAGGAGUUCGAAGGUACGCUAGUUACGGUCGGACAUCGUGACGAUAGUGCAAUGGCAUAAGCGUGCUUAACUGCGAGACUGACAAGUCGAGCAGGUGCGAAAGCAGGACAUAGUGAUCCGGUGGUUCUGUAUGGAAGGGCCAUCGCUCAACGGAUAAAAGGUACUCUGGGGAUAACAGGCUGAUACCGCCCAAGAGUUCAUAUCGACGGCGGUGUUUGGCACCUCGAUGUCGGCUCAUCUCAUCCUGGGGCUGUAGCCGGUCCCAAGGGUAUGGCUGUUCGCCAUUUAAAGAGGUACGUGAGCUGGGUUUAAAACGUCGUGAGACAGUUUGGUCCCUAUCUUCCGUGGGCGCUGCAGAUUUGAGGAAGCCUGCUCCUAGUACGAAAAAAAU